rnacentral:rRNA from 1 species
GACGAACGCUGGCGGCGUGCUUAACACAUGCAAGUCGAGCGGUAAGGCCCUUUCGGGGGUACACGAGCGGCGAACGGGUGAGCAACACGUGGGUGACCUGCCCUCAGCUCUGGGAUAAGCCUGGGAAACCGGGUCUAAUACUGGAUAUGACUCCAUGACGCAUGUUGUGGGGUGGAAAGCCUUGCGCGGCUGAGGAUGGGCCCGCGGCCUAUCAGCUUGUUGGUGGGUGAUGGCCUACCAAGGCGA